CUUCAUCAACUUCAUCAUCUUCAACUUUUUUUUUUCUUUCAAAAAUCUAUCAUUUCAACAACAACACACAUUACCCUAAGGUUCUUGUUGGUUGACACUUUCAAAAAACAAUAGAAGAAGUCAUGGAUAGCUUCCAUCUUCUUCCUCUUCUCUUAACACUAACCUGAUCCCUUCACUUUUUUUUCCCCCGACACCUCGUUUUAGUUCUGCAAAAUUCUUUUUUUCCUGUUCACACCAAAUCCGCAAUUAACAAACACAAAAAAAAUCAAUCUCAUAUUAGACAUGUUUCCUCACCCCCAUCUCACCUCUCACAACUGUCUUCCUUCAGCCUGCCGUCGUAUGCCGUGCGCCGCCGUAACUCUGUCUAUCUUGCCGCACACCGCUUCCUACAACCACCACCGUCCAUAUUUCCGUCAGAUCUGUUCUCGUUGUAAUUUUUUUUCACAGAGAAGAUUAAUUGCAAAUUGGAUUUUUUAGAUUUUGAUUUCUCUGAUUUUAGUGCUUUAUAUCAAUGUGGAUAGAAAUUAAAUUUGGUCAAAAUUGUAUAUGUUGGAUUGAAG
rnacentral:lncRNA from 1 species